ACCCACUGGCAUGAAUACCUGCUUGGGUUGGGAUGAGCAAAGUCAAGAUGACAGAGCCAGACUCUAGUGCCCAGUGACAGGACAAGAGAAUGUUUGGAAGACAGUGUGGCCUACUUCACCCUGCCAAGAAACCUGUAACUUCUGCUCACAAGAGCUCUGUGUGUUCAUUCCUUUCCUCCGUGUGAUAUGUGAAGAGGGACUGGAGAAUAGGAGGGAUCAGAAAUUAAAGCUCAGAUGACAAAGGAAAUGAGAUAUUCCUAGAAGUGUUGUCCACAACAAGAUAUAAUAAGGAACAGAAGCCAAAAGACCAGCUAAGACGAAUGGAUGUUGCAGAUGCAUGAAUCCUUUGACAAGCCCUUCAGCUUGCAGCUACAGAGUGGCACUGAAGUUCCUCAUGACCCAGAGCCUGGCCUGGGCUGUGCCCUUCUGAUAUUAGGGUUGAAGCUCAUUAACCUGAAGAUUCAAAUGGCUGGAAUUGAGUUUGUAUUUCUGAGACUUGAUUAAGAAUUAUAACAAAUGUAAAUGAAAUUUCUGCUAUAAAACAUAACUUAAAUUACA